GGAAACCCUACCUGGUGAGCUUCCCAAUAGUUUGGGCCACACAAUACCUAACCCAACUAAGCCUGUCCCUUAUAACCCAGAAGGGCCCAACUCAAGGAAGAGUCUAUCUUAUGAUGGUCCUACCAAAGUCAUACUCAAUUUAAAUGGGGUAAAUCUUUCCACUUAUCUACGCAUAUCUAACUAAUCCCAAAGAUGUAAGGCCCAUAUCUCACCCAUCAAGCCCC
rnacentral:lncRNA from 1 species